rnacentral:lncRNA from 1 species
UUUUUUCAACCAGGUUCCGUGGUAAAACGAGUAAUAUUAAGAAAACAAUUUCAGAAAGAAAGGCAUAAACACUUUGCUUGAGGCGUGGCAUGGAAAUCGUUGGACUUUUGGGGGUAAAAUCGUAAUGAAACAGGUGCAAGGCGAGUGUUUCGGACUUUUCUGUGCGUACGACAAACCGGUACGGUCCGGUACAGUUGCGAAACGGUUGCCUCAUUAACAGAGUUAAUAACGGGGAAUCUCGAUGCUUAACGGCGUUUAUCGUCGUCUAAGAGAUUCCUCUCGACGUGUUGCCCAC